AUGAACGCUGGCGGCGUGCCUAACACAUGCAAGUCGAACGGAGUCCAGCCUUUAAGACCUUCGGGUCAAAGAGGGGAAGACUGAGUGGCGGACGGGUGAGUAACACGUGGGCAACCUGGCUCAUAGAGGGGGAUAACAGAGAGAAAUUUCUGCUAAUACCGCAUAAGCACACACUGCCGCAUGGCAGAGGGUGAAAAGAGAAUCGCUAUGAGAUGGACCCGCGUCUGAUUAGCCAGUUGGCAGGGUAAGAGCCUACCAAAGCGACGAUCAGUAGCCGAUCUGAGAGGAUGAACGGCCACAUUGGGACUGAGACACGGCCCAAACUCCUACGGGAGGCAGCAGUGGGGGAUAUUGCACAAUGGGGGGAACCCUGAUGCAGCGACGCCGCGUGAGUGAAGAAGUAUUUCGGUAUGUAAGGCUCUAUCAGCAGGGAAGAUAAUGACAGUACCUGAAUAAGAAGCCCCGGCUAACUACGUG
rnacentral:rRNA from 1 species